UUGCACGCUGGCGGCAGGCCUAACACAUGCAAGUCGAACGGUAACAGGCAGAAGCUUGCUUCUUUGCUGACGAGUGGCGGACGGGUGAGUAAUGUCUGGGAAACUGCCUGAUGGAGGGGGAUAACUACUGGAAACGGUAGCUAAUACCGCAUAACGUCGCAAGACCAAAGAGGGGGACCUUCGGGCCUCUUGCCAUCGGAUGUGCCCAGGUGGGAUUAGCUAGUAGGUGGGGUAACGGCUCACCUAGGCGACGAUCCCUAGCUGGUCUGAGAGGAUGACCAGCCACACGGGAACUGAGACACGGUCCACACUCCUACGGGAGGCAGCAGUGGGGAAUAUUGAACAAUGGGCGCAAGCCUGAUGCAGCCAUGCCGCGUGGAUGAAGAAGGCCUUCGGGUUGUAAAGUACUUUCAGCGGGGAGGAAGGGAGUAAAGUUAAUACCUUUACUCAUUGACGUUACCCGCAGAAGAAGCACCGGCUAACUCCGUG
rnacentral:rRNA from 1 species